rnacentral:rRNA from 1 species
CCUACGGGGCGCAGCAGUGGGGAAUAUUGGACAAUGGGCGAAAGCCUGAUCCAGCCAUGCCGCGUGUGUGAAGAAGGCCUUCGGGUUGUAAAGCACUUUCAGUGGGGAAGAAAGCCUUGGGGCUAAUACCCUCGAGGAAGGACAUCACCCACAGAAGAAGCACCGGCUAACUCCGUGCCAGCAGCCGCGGUAAUACGGAGGGUGCGAGCGUUAAUCGGAAUUACUGGGCGUAAAGCGCGCGUAGGCGGUCUGAUAAGCCGGUUGUGAAAGCCCCGGGCUCAACCUGGGAACGGCAUCCGGAACUGUCAGGCUAGAGUGCAGGAGAGGAAGGUAGAAUUCCCGGUGUAGCGGUGAAAUGCGUAGAGAUCGGGAGGAAUACCAGUGGCGAAGGCGGCCUUCUGGACUGACACUGACGCUGAGGUGCGAAAGCGUGGGUAGCAAACAGGAUUAGAUACCCUGGUAGUC